UUAAUCAUUGACCUUUAGCUUCAAAGAAAAACAGAACUUCGGCAUGAAAUUGCCAAAAAAUGAGAGUAACAAUUUGCAAUUGCUUAAUUUCCCUCCUAGAAACCCAGGUGCAGCCAGGCCUCUGCAGCGCUUUGCUCUGCGCAGAAGUGGGCUCUCCUCCAGGGAACCUCAAUCCAGGGCAGACAAAGAAAACAUGGAGAAAAACAAGCACCUGGCAGAAAAGUGCCAAGCCACAGGCAACGGGACAUGGGAGAUGUCCCCUCUAUGCCCUGCUCAUUGCACUGUGACACCUUUCGAAUAACAAACCUCCUGCACCUGACUUGAAAUAAAACAGUCCAGAAUUUUUUAUUAUGCUUGUGAAAAUGUUGGCACUAGUGGCAAAACCAGGUGAAAGUGUGGAGCAAUCAUUCCCAGCAGCAUCAAGGUAGGAUAUGAAAUAGGUUUGGUUGGAGGAUGCCUUCAGGCUGUCAUUAGCACCUCUUAAUGAUAUGAAGCAUGUCUGGUUGAUGCAUCUAAUUUAGACUAAUGAGCCUUGAUUAGUUUUUAAGGGCCAGGAAGUUUCAGCAAGAGCUGGCUGAGGUUCACCUGCAGGACUACAGGUUGCUGUUCCUUUCACUGUAAGAUAGUGCAGAUGACCCAAUACCAGCAUUUACUCAUUGUUUCCCAUCAGGAUCCAGCCUUGCUGAGUGUUUUGGGUAAGUAUCCCUAUCCAGUGAGGCGUUGGCACCUCCCAGCAUGGAGAAAGCAGGAAAAGGCAGGGGAGCAUGGCCACUUCUCCAGACAAGGACACUGGACAAGCACUCCUAACACUGCCACCAUGCAGGCUGCAAUUUUAAGAAGCAACCUGCAGUUUUGAAGUCCUUUGUUGUGCUUUUGUAACCCUGGAUAGAAGAUACAAUGCAAAUAUUGCUCCUAUUCCUAUGUCCUCGAGCAGGGUGGAAGAGAAACUUCCUGAAAAAAAGGUUUUCUGUGCUCUGAGCUGACUGGGGCCAUGGAUAGAUUUCUGUUUCUCACCAGUGCCAAACCAGGUCGCUGCUGACCACCACCGGCCCUGGUGCUCCUAUACUCACCUGCCUCUUCAUCCUGACCUCCUGACUGGAAAGUCAUGGUGAUUUCCCUGGUGGGAGGAGGUAAGAAUCUCCACACCAAAUGUGCUGGGAAUGAGUGGAAAGAGCAGAUCCUCCUGCUGUAGCUUCUCACCUUAUUUUACAUAUGGUUUAAAUUUCACAAAUCCAUUGUAACUGGUUUUACCCCUUCUCCUACCCUGAGAAAAUAACAGUGUUAAAUAUCUUUUCUUGACAGUGUUUUUAACAUGCAAUAGGAGGACAAAUGUGAACACUAAAGAGCUUUUGCUUCUUUGUGUGUUCUGUGCCUCAAAUGAGGAGCAAGUGAUUCAUGGGCUGCCCCAUCAUUUCUCGUGUUGUAAAUCCCCACAGUUUGUGUUUUCUUUAGAUCAGAGACAGGUGGGUCAAAUGGAAGAGGCCACUGAGACAGACAAUCCCAUGGCAAAAGAUGCCCCCGUGGAGGCAGCUGUUUAUCUACCACAAAGGUGUUUCCAUAAAAUCUCGGGGUAGCCACAUUCAGGAUGGCCUGAAAGAAAACCAAGAAGUGCUUAAAAUGUUACUGAGCACCCUUAAAAACAUUGUCCUGGGGCAAAAGAGCGAAGUCACUGCACAAAUGAGGCAGUCACA